GCCCAUGUAGCUUAGUGGCAGAGCACUUUCUUGGUAAGGAAGAGGUCAGCGGUUCAAUUCCGCUUAUGGGCUCCA
rnacentral:tRNA from 1 species